GUUUCAGACCGGGUUUGGAAUUGGGUUUCAGACCGGGUUUGGAAUCGGGUCUCAGAGCUGGUCUCAGACCGGGUUUGGAAUCGGGUCUCAGACCGGGUUUGGAAUCGGGAGCUAACGGGUCCCUUUUCUCCCUUGCCCACUCCCCCCAGAUCCCCCGGGCCCCUCAGGUGCCGAAGGCUUCACCCCCCGCCCUGAGGAGGAGGAAGAGGAGGAGGAGGAGGAGGAGGCCGAAGGCUCACCCACGCCCGGCGAACCCGACACGGCCGAGCUGCGUCGCCGCCGCCUGCGGAAACUGGGGGCGCCGGCCCCGGCCCCCUCCCUCUGACGGCCCCGGCCUCCCUUUUGGAGACCCGCCCCUCCCCCGGAGGCCGCUGACACCCUCGGCCUCCAUUUUGGGGACGCUCAGAGGCCGCCGCACCCCCCGGCCUCCGUUUUGGGGGGACCCUUGGAGGGCCGCUGUCCCCCUCGGCCUCCCUUUCGGAGACUCCCCUCGCCCUCCAUUUUGGAGCCCCCCACGAGCCGCCCGCGCCUCCUUUCCCCCCACUUUUCACCCCAAAAAAAAAGCAAUCUGGAGGCUCACGGCCUCCCCUGUGGGGGGGGAGUUCCCCUCAGCAGCGCCCCCUGACCCGUUUUUGCCCAUUUUCACCCCAUUUUUCUCUACCUCCGGAUUUGGGACGGGGUUCGGUUAUGAAAACACCGUCCCCCUUUGAAAUUGCUCAAAACCUCGUGGUUUUAACCCAGUUUUCUUCUCGGGUCCCCCCCCCGGCGGCUCUCAACCCCCCAACCCGCUUCAGUUUUGGGGUCAAACCCGAAAGCUUUGAGCCAUUUGGGAUUUUGGGGUGCUUUCCGCCCCCCUCCUUGCAGUAUUAACCCUUUAUCCUCGGGACAGCUCCGGGGGGGGGGUUGGGGGCGUUUCACCCCCUCCUGGCCCCAAAAUGUGGGGUUUUCACCCCGUUUUCCCCCCGGGAAGGCGACCCCGGCCGCAAAUCCCGUUGGCCCUUGCCCUUCAGUGCCUCUUCGAACCGAGCGGGCUUCCAGGAGCCCCAAAAUCUCAGGGAAAAACGGGGGCCGGGGGGGGAGCCCGGGGUGGAAUUUUGGGCUCGUUUAGGCAAAAUCGGGCAAUAACGAGGCGGGAGUUGAUCUUUUAAUCGGUUUUUUUUGUUUGUUUAAUUUGGAGUGGAAACGGCGGAGCUGCGGCCGGUCGAGGAUUUUUGGGGUGGGUUCCUCGGGGUUUUCCUUCGUUUCGGGGCGGGUUUGAAAAGGGGAGUAAAGGAGGGGGGUUGCAAAGGGGGGCAUCUGGCCCCAAAAACACCCCCUUUGACCCCAAAAUCCUUCCUUUUGACCCUAAGACCCCUCACUUUAACCCCAAAUCCCUCCUUUGGACACCAAAUCCCUUCCUUUUGGCCCCAAAUCCCUUCUUUUUGACCCUAAAACAACUCCUUGUGACCCUAAAAUCCCUCCUUUUCACCCCAGACCUUUUUUUUUUGACCCCGAAACCCAUCCCUUAUCCCCAGAAUCCCUCCUUUUGACCUUAAAUCAGCCCAUUUUGCCCCCAAGAUCCCUCCUUGUCAUCCCAGAACCGCCCCCUUCGGUCCCAAAUCCGUUUUUUUGACCCCAAACCCCUCCCUUUUGACCCCCGAAACGCCCCGUUUUGACCCUAAAACCCCUCCCUUUGACCCUAAGCUCCUACUUUUCACCCUAAACCCCUCC
ensembl:lncRNA